rnacentral:rRNA from 1 species
CGGUGCGUCUAAUACAUGCAAGUCGAGCGCUACUUCGGUAGAGCGGCGAACGGGUGAGUAACACGUUGGAACCUGCCUCGAACUCAGGGAUAACAUCGAGAAAUCGGUGCUAAUACCGGAUAGUCCCGCAAGGGUAAAGAUUUUUCGGUUCGAGAGGGGCCUGCGUCCUAUUAGCUAGUUGAUGAGGUAAUGGCUUACCAAGGCGAUGAUGGGUAGCUGGUCUGAGAGGAUGAUCAGUCACAGGGGAACUGAGACACGGUCCCCACUCC